GCCUGUGUGGCUCAGUCGGUUGAGCCUCUGAUUUCAGCUCAGGUUAUGAUCUCGUGGUUUAUGGGUUUGAACCCUGCUUCGGGCU
rnacentral:tRNA from 1 species